GGAGUUUUUUUUACCUUUGCCUGGCAGAAGCACGGAGUCCAGGAUUUCCUGGUGUUCCUGGCUCACGGCCUGGGGUGGUGGCCCCACACACUCCACACACACACACCCCACAGAGCCCUGCUGUGCUGUGGGCACCGGUGGUGGGCAAAAGCUUGGGCUUUGUCAGACCAGGUUUCCAUUCCCACCCCAUGUCUCACUGUGCCCUGGGCAGGUCACUGCCCCUCUCUGGAUCUGUUUCCUCACUUUGAAAAGGGGGCUCACCGUUAUUUGACCCUCUCAGGGUCCUCAAGAAGCACCAGCCCCAGGCCUGGCAUGGAGGAUGUGCUCAUUUGUCCCCCGCCCCGGCUGAGCCAGGUGGGAGGACGCAGUGGGUGCCUAUCUGGGGAAGCUUCCCCCUCCACCCACCUCUCCCUGCAGCCAUCUCUGCAGCCAGGCUGGUGCUGAGCUCAGCUAUGGGAAGGUACUGACAGACACAGAGCCAGGUGACACCUGAGGCUGGGGGAGGGGUGCACAGAGCUGACUCAAUAUCACCCGACAUCCCCAAGUCCCCGCAGCUGCUAGGCCAGUAGCUGUGAGGGCCCUCUCGUUACUAACUCAUCUUCCUCCUCCCUGCUGCCCAGCUGGCUGUCCAAAAGUAUGAGGAGCUGUUCCCGGCUUUCUCUGAUUCCCGGGAAUGCAAGUUGAUGAAAAAAUUGCUAGAGGCCCACGAGGAGCAGAAUGUGGACAGCUACACCGAGUCGGUGAAGGAAUACGAUUCCAUCUCCCGGCUGGACCAGUGGCUCACCACCAUGCUGCUGCGCAUCAAGAAGACCAUCCAGGGCGACGAGGAGGACCUGCGCUAAGCCCCACCCAGCCCCCUAGUGCCCAUCUUCCUGUCCCAUCUGCUCAGAGAGGUGGGGCCGAGACUUGCUGGAGAGCUUCCCUCCUUUCCUACCUGGGGAGUCCCGCGGGCCACAGUGGGCAGGCGGCACCGGGGGUCAGCAUGCAGGGGCACCAGAGGCCCAGGCUGCUGGCUGGACAGUCAUCCUCUGUUCUCGCUACAUCCCUUGCCCCUUGUCCAUUUAUUUAAGCCCCCAUAGGUGCCCUUCACCCCCAAAACCAGCUGUACAGAAUCUUUGAUAUGGACCUAUUUGCUAGGGGUGCUGCCGGGGGUUUGGGGUCAGCAUCUGGCCCCCUAUCUCCUGACCAGCUGAGUCAUGAGGCCGGUUUCUGUCUCUCCCACUUUUGUCCCCCAGCCAAGCUCUAAAGCACAUGUAGCCGCUGAGACCUGCUGUUUCUGCUGGGGGCAGGCUCCUCUUCCCCCAGCCCCGGGAGCCUCCCCCAGCUUCCUGCAGCCCCGACCUCUCAGGUUAGACCCUGGGCCCUGGAGCUUAGGGGAUUCUCCCCCACCCCAGCCCCACACCUGCUCCUUCCCUAAUGCUUUGAGGUUUUCUUGGUUGGAAGCUGCAGCUGGCCCAAGAAAGAA
rnacentral:sRNA from 1 species